UAGAAGCAACCUUCACUAAUAGGAAUAUCUCAGAGGAUUUGGCAUUGGAUCUAAAUGAUGAUCUUUUUGAAAAGUUACGUAUCUUCUAAAUAAUUUUUAGAGAUGAUAGAUGAUAGAUGAUGUGUCCUUUUACCCAAAUGAGCAAGAAAUGAGUUUGCAUGAGGCUGACGUUUACAAACCUUAAUUUUUAAUUACACUUUCUAAUUAAAAACAGGCUUUUAGAGUUUGCAAUGUGCUUUAGUUUUUAUUGAUUACAAUUUUAAUAUACUCCAUGUCUUGAUUUUUUUUUUUUUUUUUUUUUUUUUUUUUUUUUGUCUUUGGAUAGCAAUCAUCUCUUGGAUUGGGUGUCAAAUUGUAGUCAGAGUACUAUCCUGCUACUUGUUGAGCUUUCAAUGAUGAACUUAUCUGUCAUUUACAAACUAGAUUUGCAGAAAUUGCCAUUUUGAUGUGGUGCUUCUGCAGUGUUAAGUGUCCAUCUCUCUCUCUCACCUGGUCUGGAGCAUUUGUGGGUGUUAGAUCCAGUUAUUGACUUAUAAAUUGUUUGCCUUCUCGACUGCAGAUUAUGUCAUGGAAGAGGUUAAGAAAGCUGGCUUUACUGAACCCACUGCUAUUCAAGCUCAAGGAUGGCCUAUGGCCCUAAAGGGUCGUGAUCUUAUUGGUCUUGCUGAAACAGGAUUAGGGAAAACACUUGCCUACUUGCUACCUGCUAUUGUACAUGUCAAUGCUCAGCCAAUUUUAUCUCCUGGUGAUGGUCCAAUUGUGUUAAUUCUGGCUCCAACUAGGGAACGUGUUGUACAAAUACAACAAGAAACCACUAAGUUUGGCACUUCAUCAAGGAUUAGAAAUACUUGCAUUUAUGGCGGGGUUCCUAAGGGACAUCAAGUUCGUGAUCUCCAGAAAGGUAGGUGCUGCUUGAGUUUGACAUGACUUCGUCCAUCAAAGGGAGGGGAUAAGGAUAUUUGAGAUGCUUUCCUAUUAUAUUGCGACUUUCGUGAUCUUCGUUACUUGUUUUAGGUGGGACAAGUGAUCCUUGUCUUUACAGCUCGUUCUAACGGCACUAAUCACUGCAUUGGGAAGUGUGUUGGCUGUUGUCCAACUGUGCCGGGAAAAGAAAUCUGGAAAUAUAUAUGCCAUGAAAAAAUUGAAGAAAUCUGAAAUGCUUAGUCGAGGACAGGUACUAUUUUACAUAUGUUGAUUUUGAUGCAAGUCCUUAAAGAUUAUCCUUGAAUUGGGAAUACAUGUUUCCUAAGAUGUAUAUUUGAGCUAUAUAGUUGGUUCGUGUUGUGUAUGUUUUACACUUAUACUACUUGAUCUCAUCAAAAGAUCGUCUAGAUAUGCAAAAAUU